GGGGGUCCAGUGGUUAAGACUCUGCACUUCCACUGCAGGGGACACAGGUUUGAUCCCUGCUUGGCCCCA
rnacentral:tRNA from 1 species